GCUCCAGAAGUAGCUAGUCUAACCGCAAGGGGGACGGUUACCACGGAGUGAUUCAUGACUGGGGUGAAGUCGUAACAAGGUAGCCGUAGGGGAACCUGCGGCUGGAUCACCUCCUUA
rnacentral:rRNA from 1 species